GGGAAAAUUUGAUUUUAGCCCUAAAUGAGUUGAAGAAGGCGUUAUAUCGUUCGAAAAUAGAAAAAAGGGGGUUAAUUGGGGAGAGUUAGGGUUCGAAGAUUUGGGAGGAAAAGCGUUCGCAAAAUUUGCAGAGGGUUUCGAAAAGUUGCAGAUUGGGUAGACUAAUAGCAGCACUUGGGUUUAGGGUAUCAUUGUAGUCGACAAAAAGGAGCGAAUCUUGAAGGCGAGCAUGAGCAUUAUCAGAGAGGCUGGUGCUGCUCCACCAGUGUACGAUGAUAAUACAUUGUUCACAUGGAUGGUUUGUCAUGGAGGUAGGUUGGUGGAAGUUAAGAACAAUGACAUGGGUUGGUGUUACAUCGGUGGAGUGUGUGUCGAGUGCUUGGUGUUGGUAAGAUAAAAAUGGCUUUUUGUGAUUCCUUUUGGUUUUGUUCGUAAGGAAAAAAAAUG